UCCCUGGAGGUCUCGUGGUUAGGAUUCGGCGCUUUCACCGCCGCGGCCCGGGUUCGAUUCCCGGUCAGGGAA